CCGACCCGCUGCACCCCAAAACCCCCGGAUUAGCCCUAAAACUGACCCGCUGCACCCAAAAACCUCUGGAUUACCCCCAGAAAUGGACCCAGCGCCCCCAAAAAGCCCCCGAAAAUGAACCCGGCGUCCCUGAAAACGCCCCAAAACUGACCCGCUGCACCCAAAAACCCCUGAAUUAGCCCCGAAAAUGGACCCGGUGCACCCCAAAACCCCCAGAAUUGCCCCAAAACCAACCCGCUGCACCCAAAAACUCCCGGAUUAGCCCCAAAAAUGGACCCAGCACCCCCAAAAAGCCCCCGAAACCCCCCAAAAAUGAACCUGGCGUCCCCAAAAACACCCCAAAACUGACCCGCUGCACCCAAAAACCCCCGGAUUAGCCCCGAAAAUGGACCCGGUGCACCCCAAAACCCCCUUUUUCCCCCCAAGCCCGUGACCCAAAACCCCCCUUUUUCGCCCCAAACUCGCUCACCCUCGUCCUCCUCAUCCUUCUCCUUCUUCUUCUUCUUCUAUGGGGCAGCAAUGGGGGGGGGUGAGGGGGGUCCUGCCCCAUAGCGCCGUGGGGCAGCGGGUGCUGCGGGGGGGGCCCAGCCCCAUAGCAGCCCUAUGGCAGCUCCCUGCCCCAUAGCAACGCUAUGGGGGGGGUCCCAGCCCCACGGCGCUAUGGGGCAGAGCACGGGGGGGGUCCCAGCCCCAUAGCAGCCCCAGGGGGGGUCCUGGCCCCACAGCGCUAUGGGGCAGGGCUAUGGGGGCGGGUCCCAGCCAGCCCCAUAGCAGCCCUAUAGCAGGUCCCUGCCCCAUAGCAGUGCUAUAGGGGGGGUCCCAGCCCCAUGGCGCUAUGGGGCAGCCCUAUGGGGGGUUCCCAGCCCCAUAGCGGCCCUAUGGGGGGGGUCCCUGCCCCACGGCGCCCACCUGGGCCGGGUCGGGCAGGGGAAUGUCCAGCUCCGAGCGCAGCUGCUCCGGCCCCACGGCGAAGGAGGGGUCCUGGGGGGGGGGACGGGACACGACAUGGGGGUCAGGGCUGCCCCACGGCGACCCCCCCACACCCCAUAGAACCUCCCCCAGCCCCAUAGAGACCCCAUAAGGGCCCUAUAGAGACUCCCCCUGCCCCAUAGACACCACCCAGCCCCAUAGAGACCCCCCCAGGCAGCCCCAUAGGGGACCCGCAAGCCACCCCCAGCCCCAUAGCGGCUCCCCCACCCCAUAGAGACCCCAUGAGGACCCUCCUCAGCCCCAUAGGGACCUUCCCAGCCCCAUAGA
rnacentral:lncRNA from 1 species